rnacentral:rRNA from 1 species
GUGAGGAAUAUUGGUCAAUGGGCGCAAGCCUGAUCCAGCCAUGCCGCGUGAGUGAUGAAGGCCUUCGGGUUGUAAAGCUCUUUAGCCGAUGAUUAUAAUGACUGUAGUCGGAAAAUAAGCCCCGGCUAACUUCGUGCCAGCAGCCGCGGUAAUACGAAGGGGGCGAGCGUUAUUCGGAAUCACUGGGCGUAAAGCGUGCGUAGGCGGCUUUGCAAGUUGGGAGUGAAAGCCCAGGGCUCAACCCUGGAAUUGCUCUCAAAACUGCAAGGCUCGAAUUCGGGAGAGGAUAGCGGAAUUGUCAGUGUAGCAGUGAAAUGCGUAGAUAUUGACAGGAACACCAGUGGCGUAAGCGGCUAUCUGGACCGAUAUUGACGCUGAGGCACGAAAGCGUGGGGAUCAAACAGGAUUAGAAACCCUGGUAGUCC